CCACUCCCCAGCUGUGAAAGGAGGAGCUCUACGGUGACUUUGAAGACUUGGAAACAGGGGACAUGCACAAGGGAAAAUCGGGCCCCGACACUCAGAAUGAAGAUAUAGAGAAACAAGGAAGAAAUUGACCCCGACGAAGAAGAAAGUGCCAAGAAAAAGCAUUUGGAUAAGAAGAGAAAAUUGAAGGAGAUGUUUGAUGCGGAAUAUGAUGAAGGAGAAAGCACAUAUUUUGAUGAUCUUAAAGGAGAAAUGCAGAAAGAAGCACAGCCUGAUUUUCGGAUAGCUGCCACAGGAGUUGUCCUUGAUCUGGAUAAAUCCAUAAAAAUUGUGAAGAAAUUAAAGCUAACUGGUUUUCCAUAUAAAAUUUUCAAGAACACUUCAUUUAUUAAGAUAUUGUCUUCAUGCGAACUUGGUAUCCUGUUUCCAUCCCAGCCUUCUAUAACCCAGUAACAUCUUUGUUGAAACCAGUGGGUGAGAAAGACACCUGGUCAGGAAUGUGGACCACGGGCCACCUCGGGCUCGCCCAUGGUGUCAGACUAAAGACAAACAAGGACUCUCUGUAUAAGGUACUGGUCGUGUGUGUGUUAGUGGAGAUGAAGCCUGUGCCCUACAGACAGGGAGUCACGCAGACACUUUUCUAUAAUUUCUUACGUACUUUGAAUGUUCAAGUAUAAAGUCUAAUGUUAAAUUUGAUUGAACAAUUGUAUAUUUGUGGGAUAUUUUGGAAUGGAACACCAAAAAAUGGUAAUAGUGGUUCUUUCUGGAUUGAAGACAAACUUUUCUUUUUUAAAAUAAAUUUUAUUUUAUAUAUUUGAGGUUGACAACAUGAUCUUAAAGGAUAAAUAUAGAUAGUAAACUGGUUACUAUAGUGAAGCAAAUUAACAUAGCUACCAUCUCACAUAGUUAGAUUUUUGUUUGUGUGACAGGAACAGCUAAAAUCUACUUAUUUAACAAAAAUCCCAAAGACAAUAUAUUUUUAUUAACUAUAGCCCUCAUGAUGUACACUAGAUCUCUAACUUGUUCAUCCUACAUGUCUGCUACUUUGUAUUAUUUUAAUGUACAUCUCCCCAUUUCCUACUGGUCAUUUCCUAUUUGGCCCAUUUUUCAACUGGGUUGUUUUUCUGCUAUUAAGUUGUAAGAGUUCUUUACUGAUUUUUGGAUAUUAACACUUUAUCAGAUAUGUGGUUUGCAAAUAUUUCUUCCAGUCUAUAGGUUCCCCUUUCAUUUUGUUGGUUGUUCCUUUGCUGUGCAGAAGCUUUUUAGUUUGAUGCAGUCCUCCUUGUUUAUGUUUACAUUUGUAGCCUGGCUUGUGGUGCGAUAUCCAAAAAAUUAUUGCUAAGGCCAAUGUCAAGAGGCUUUCCCCCUAUGUUUUCUUCUAGGAGUUUUAUGGUUUCAGGUCUUAUUUGGGUCUUUGGUCUUGUAUCUGUUUUGAGUUGAUUUUUGUGUAUGGUGUAUGAUCAGGGUCGAAUUUUAUUCUUUUGCAUGUGAAAAUCCUAUUAUUGAAGAAACUAUCUUUUUUACCAUUGUGUUGUCUUGUUUGCCCUUGUCAAAAAUUAGUUGACAGUAUAUGUUUGGAUUUAUUUCAAAGGUCUCUGUUCUGUUCCAUUGGUCUAUUUUUUUGUUUUUAUGCCAGCACCAUACUGUUUUGAUUACUAUAGCUUUGUAAUACAAUUUUAAAUCAAGAGGUGUGAUGCCUCCAACUUUUUCUUUCACAGUUAUCUGUUGGCUGUUUGGGGUUUUUUGCGGUUCCAUAUGAGUUUCAGGAUUGUUUUUUCUUUUCUUUUAUUUAUUUAUUUUUUUUUUUGAGGUGAAGUCUCACUCUGUCACCCAAGCUGGAGUGCAGUGGCAUAAUCUCGGCUCACUAAAACCUCUGCCUCCUGGAUUCAAGCAAUUCUUCUGCCUCAGCCUCCCAGGUAGCUGGGACUACAGGCACAUGCCACUAUGCCUGGCCAAUUUUUGUAGUUUUAGUAGAGACAGGGUUUCACUAUGUUGGCCGGGCUGGUCUCCAACUCCUGACCUCGUGAUCCGCCCACUGCGGUCUCCCAAAGUGCUGGAAUUACAGGCGUGAGCCACUGUGCCUGGCCAGGAUUGUUUUAUUCUGUUCUGUGAAGAAUGUCAUCAGAACUUUGAUGAGGAUUGUGUUAAAUCUGUAUAUUUGCUUUGGGUAGUGUGAACAUUUUAACAAUAUUAAUUCUUCUGAUCCAUAAACAUAGGAUGUCUUUUCAUUUGUUCAUGUCUAAAUUUCUUUCAUCAAUGUUUUAUGGUUUUUAAGUGUACACAUCUCUCACCUUCUUGGUUAAAUUUAUUCCUAAGUUUUUGUUUUUCUUUGAUGCUAUAGUAAAUGAGAUUAUUUUCUUCAUUGCUUCGUCAGCUAGGUUAUUUGUAUACAGAAAUGCAACUGAUUUUUAUAUGUUGAGUUUAUACCUUGCAGCUUAACUGAAUUGAUUUAGUAGUUCUCACAGUUUUUUGUGGAAUCUUUGGAGUUUUUUACGUAAAGGAUCUUGUCAUCUGCAAAUAGAGAUAAUUUUACUUCUUUAAUUUAGUUGCCUUUUUUUCUCAUCUGAUUGCUCUUGCAAGCACUCUAUUGAAUAAAAGUGAUGAGGCUGGCCAUCCCUAUCUUGUACUCAAUCUUAGUGGAAAAGCUUUAGUUGUUCCCCACUAACUAUGAUUAGACUGUGGGUUUUUCAUAAAUGGUCUUUAUUAUGUUGAGGAACUUUCCUUCUAUACAUAAACUAUUAAGAGGUUUUAUCAAGAAAGGUUGCUAAACUUUGUUAAAUGCUUUUACUGAAUCAAUUGAGGUGACCAUGUCAUUUUAUCUUUCAUUUUGUUAAUGUGAUAUAUCACAUUGAUUGAUUUACAUAUUUUAAACCAGCCUUGCAUGCCAGGGAUAAAUCCCACUUAAACACGAUGUAUAAUGUUUUUGAUGUGUUGUUGAAUUCUAUUUGCUAAAAUUUUUUUAGGA
ensembl:lncRNA novel transcript